GAUGAACGCUGGCGGCGUGCUUAAUACAUGCAAGUCGAACGGACAGGCGCUGCGUUUGUUGGGUGCUCGUUUGGCGAGCGGGUGUGUAACACGUGUGUAAACUGCCCCUAACUUUGUGAUAUCUUCUGGAAAAUGGGGCUAAUACACGAGAGGAGCUACUGCUGCAUGGUGGGGGUUAGUAAAAUUCGGUGGUAGGGGAUGUACUCGAGGCUUAUCAGCUAGUUUGUGGGGUAGUGGCUUACCAAGGCUUUGACGGAUAGCCGGCCUGAGAGGUUGACCAGCGACAUUGGGACUGAGAUACGGCCCAGUCUCCUACGUGAGGCAGAAGUGGAGAAUUUGGCACAGCAGGCGGAAGCCUGAUGUAGCAACGCCGCGAUCGGAAUGCCGGGCUACGAGUUGUAAACCGAUUUCGCCUGUGACGAAGAGUAAGUGACGGUAAUGGGUAAGGGAGCACCGGCUAACUACGUG
rnacentral:rRNA from 1 species